UAACAACACCGACCACAGCAACAACACCAAUCACAGCAGCAAACACAACAACACCGACCACAGCAGCAAACACAACAACACCGACCACAGAAACAACACCAACCACAGCAACAAACACAACAACACCGACGACUACACUACCCAGCACAACUACAACAAUGCCAAUGAUGACAACACCACCACCACCAAUGGUGAAGACCUUGACGUUCACCAUGGACCUGGUUUACGAUUCUUCAUACAAUAACCCGGAAAACGAGGUUUACAAAAACACUAAUAACACUAUUCAAGAACAAUGUAAGACGCACAUCUCAACUCUAGUAUCAGUCAACAUCAAUGGCUUCAAGUAAGUCAAAAUUUUCUUUUUA